rnacentral:rRNA from 1 species
AUUGAACGCUGGCGGCAUGCCUUACACAUGCAAGUCGAACGGUAACAGGUCUUCGGAUGCUGACGAGUGGCGAACGGGUGAGUAAUACAUCGGAACGUGCCUAGUAGUGGGGGAUAACUACUCGAAAGAGUGGCUAAUACCGCAUGAGAUCUACGGAUGAAAGCAGGGGAUCGCAAGACCUUGUGCUACUAGAGCGGCCGAUGGCAGAUUAGGUAGUUGGUGGGAUAAAAGCUUACCAAGCCGACGAUCUGUAGCUGGUCUGAGAGGACGAUCAGCCACACUGGGACUGAGACACGGCCCAGACUCCUACGGGAGGCAGCAGUGGGGAAUUUUGGACAAUGGGCGCAAGCCUGAUCCAGCAAUGCCGCGUGCAGGAUGAAGGCCUUCGGGUUGUAAACUGCUUUUGUACGGAACGAAAAGCCCUGGGUUAAUACCCUGGGGUCAUGACGGUACCGUAAGAAUAAGCACCGGCUAACUACGUGCCAGCCGCCGCGGUAA